AGGGUUUGAUCCUGGCUCAGGAUGAACGCUGGCGGCGUGCCUAAUACAUGCAAGUCGAACGAGAACCAUCUUUCGGGAUGGGGGCAGUGGCGGACGGGUGAGUAACACGUAGACGACCUGCCCUGGAGCGGGGGAUAACGGGGGGAAACUUCCGCUAAUACCCUAUAAGCUCACGGUAAUUAGAUAGCGGUGAGAAAAGAUUUAUCGCUUCAGGAGGGGUCUGCGGCCCAUCAGGUAGUUGGCGGGGUAAAGGCCCACCAAGCCAUCGACGGGUAGGGGGCCUGAGAGGGUGGUCCCCCACAUGGGCACUGAGACACGGGCCCAACUCCUACGGGAGGCAGCAGUAAGGGAUAUUGCACAAUGGACGCAAGUCUGAUGCAGCAACGCCGCGUGCCCGAUGAAGGCCUUCGGGUCGUAAAGGGCUUUUCUGGCUGAAGAUAAUGACUGUAAGCCAGGAAUAAGUGUCGGCUAACUACGUGCCAGCAGCCGCGGUAAAACGUAGGACGCGAGCGUUAUCCGGAGUUACUGGGCGUAAAGCGCGGGCAGGCGGUCUGACAAGUCUGAUGUGAAAUCACCCAGCUUAACUGGGCGAGGCCAUUGGAAACUGACAGGCUGGAGGGCAGUAGAGGUAGGCGGAAUUCCGGGUGGAGUGGUGAAAUGCGUAGAGAUCCGGAGGAACACCAGAGGCGAAGGCGGCCUACUGGGCUGCACCUGACGCUGAGCCGCGAAAGCCAGGGGAGCGAACGGGAUUAGAAACCCCGGUAGUCCUGGCCGUAAAC
rnacentral:rRNA from 1 species